AGAAAUAAACCGUUCCCUUCUGUGUGGAACGUNCGAAAAUCAUUGUGUGUGUGCAUGGCUGUCGUCAGCUCGCUGCUCGUGAGAUGUUUGGGUUAACGUCCCGCAACGAGCGCAACCCCUAUCCUAUGUUACCAGCACGUUAUGGUGGGGACUCAUGGGAGACUGCCAGGGACAACCUGGAGGAAGGCGGGGAUGACGUCAAGUCAUCAUGCCCCUUAUGUCCUGGGCUACACACGUACUACAAUGGUCGGCAACAGAGGGAAGCGAAGCCGCGAGGCAGAGCAAACCCCAGAAACCCGAUCUCAGUUCGGAUCGCAGGCUGCAACCCGCCUGCGUGAAGUCGGAAUCGCUAGUAAUC
rnacentral:rRNA from 1 species